rnacentral:rRNA from 1 species
UACGUAGGGUCCAAGCGUUAUCCGGAAUCACUGGGCGUAAAGCGUGCGUAGGUGGAUUGUUAAGUGCGAUGCGAAGUCCUGUGGCUCAACCAUAUGGACUGUAUCGCAUACUGGCUAUCUAGAGGACAUGAGAGGCAAGUGGAAUUACUGGUGUAGCAGUGAAAUGCGUAGAGAUCAGUAGGAACACCAAUGGCGAAGGCAGCUUGCUGGCAUGUAUCUGACGCUAAGGCACAAAAGCGUGGGGGAGCGAACAGG